rnacentral:rRNA from 1 species
GUGGGGAAUUUUGGACAAUGGGCGCAAGCCUGAUCCAGCAAUGCCGCGUGCAGGAAGAAGGCCUUCGGGUUGUAAACUGCUUUUGUACGGAACGAAACGGUCCUGGCUAAUACCCGGGGCUAAUGACGGUACCGUAAGAAUAAGCACCGGCUAACUACGUGCCAGCAGCCGCGGUAAUACGUAGGGUGCGAGCGUUAAUCGGAAUUACUGGGAGUAAAGCGGGCGCAGGCGGUGCUGUAAGACAGGCGUGAAAUCCCCGGGCGCAACCUGGGAAUUGCGCUUGUGACUGCAGUGCUGGAGUGCGGCAGAGGGGGAUGGAAUUCCGCGUGUAGCAGUGAAAUGCGUAGAUAUGCGGAGGAACACCGAUGGCGAAGGCAAUCCCCUGGGCCUGCACUGACGCUCAUGCACGAAAGCGUGGGGAGCAAACAGGAUUAGAUACCCCGGUAGUCC